rnacentral:lncRNA from 1 species
GAGAGUAACACCCCCAAAAAUGUUUGGAAAAAUUCAGAAGGUCUAAUUAAAAUCCAUCCUGUUGCAGAAGAGGUCAAAUAAAACCCUUUAGACAAAAGACUUGGUCUAAUCUUUAUACAUGAUAAUAGUCACCGUUAAGAUACACAUUUGUAUACUACGAGAACAACACAGAAGAUAGAGAUACUGAAACUUUUUACUGGUUUACCUAACCUGCAGGUUGGGGAAGAGCUGGUCAUGGGUUUGUCUUCAGGGAAGCCCGGCAUACAGAGUUUGAACCACCCUGUCACAGGGGGCUGGCCAAGCAUAGAAACACUUUCUAGUGUUUCUCUUUGAGACGAAUUCAAUAUGGCCGCCAAACAUGGUAGUGUUUUAUAUACACCGACAACUUUCUAAGGGGUACAUCCUAGGUUGUGUCCCAUUCUACCGUCGAGCAGAAGUAAAGUGAUGUUUGCCCAUCAAUGUGAGCACUGGUAAGAGUUUUGGAGGGUGGCUGUUGUUAGCUUGAUCUGGCUCUAGCUCCCUCUGCCUUGCUCAGUGAAGACAAACCCUCUGAACAAAAGCCUUUCCAUGCGCAACUCGUAAAGAUUCAUUAUUGCUUACAGGAACAAAGCAUUUUGUGUACAUGGACACACAGUGCAGAGUCAUGGAGAGCAAUGGAGUGGCAUAGGAAAAGGAAGGGGAGAGAGGGGAACAGACCUGAACAGCGUGGUCUGUUUCUGUCAGCUGGGGAAGGGUCAUACUGGCAUGGGGGUUAAAAGGGAAGGGUCAUACUGGCAUGGGGGUUAAAAGGGAAGGGUCAUACUGGCAUGAUGGGGUAAAAGGGAAGGGUCAUACUGGCAUGGGGGUUAAAAGGGAAGGGUCAUACUGGCAUGGGGGGUAGAAGGGAAGGGUCAUACUGGCAUGGGGGGUAAAAGGGAAGGGUCAUACUGGCAUGAUGGGGUAAAAGGGAAGGGUCAUACUGGCAUGGGGGGGUAGAAGGGAAGGGUCAUACUGGCAUGGGGGGUAAAAGGGAAGGGUCAUAUAGACAUGGGGGGUAGAAGGGAAGGGUCAUACUGGCAUGGGGGGUAAAAGGGAAGGGUCAUAUAGACAUGGGGGGUAGAAGGGAAGGGUCAUACUGGCAUGGGGGGUAAAAGGGAAGGGUCAUAUAGACAUGGGGGGGUAGAAGGGAAGGGUCAUACUGGCAUGGGGGGGUAGAAGGGAAGGGUCAUACUGGCAUGGGGGGUAAAAGGGAAGGGUCAUACUGGCAUGGGGGGGGGUAAAAGGGAAGGGUCAUACUGGCAUGGGGGGGUAGAAGGGAAGGGUCAUACUGGCAUGGGGGGUAAAAGGGAAGGGUCAUAUAGACAUGGGGGGUAGAAGGGAAGGGUCAUACUGGCAUGGAGGUUAAAAGGGAAGGGUCAUACUGGCAUGGAGGUUAAAAGGGAAGGGUCAUACUGGCAUGGGGGGUAAAAGGGAAGGGUCAUACUGGCAUGGAGGUUAAAAGGGAAGGGUCAUACUGGCAUGGGGGGUAAAAGGGAAGGGUCAUAUAGACAUGGGGGGGUAGAAGGGAAGGGUCAUACUGGCAUGGAGGUUAAAAGGGAAGGGUCAUACUGGCAUGGGGGGUAAAAGGGAAGGGUCAUACUGGCAUGGGGGGUAAAAGGGAAGGGUCAUACUGGCAUGAGGGGGUAGAAGGGAAGGGUCAUACUGGCAUGGAGGGUAAAAGGGAAGGGUCAUACUGGCAUGAGAGGUUAAAAGGGAAGGGUCAUACUGGCAUGGGGGUUAAAAGGGAAGGGUCAUACUGGCAUGAUGGGGUAAAAGGGAAGGGUCAUACUGGCAUGGGGGGUAGAAGGGAAGGGUCAUACUGGCAUGGGGGGUAAAAAGGGAAGGG